ensembl:lncRNA
UCCAGAUGUUUUGGCUCCUUUAGGAUUUGAACGCAUGCAAGUAUAUUUGCUCCUAUUUCAAAGGCAGAGAGCUAGAUGGACCGACCAGAUGUUUCUCUAGGAAAAGCUUGGUAAUACACCAGAAAUCAGGUAUGCAGAAGACCACUGGCAAAACAUGAGAUUGAGUGGGAGGAACAGCAGCUUUGGCGCUCUGGGAUCUGGCUUGCCUUCUGACACAAAGCCUGUCACCCAGCUACUGCCCUGUCACCAGGACCUGCAUCGCUUGCCUGGCCCCUGGCUCUACACACCUUUCAGUUCACGUGGUUUCAGCAUUCCUGUGCAAAGUGGAUUUGGAGGCUUGCAGAGCAGUGAUAUCGGGUGUUGGGAACCAGGCCAGUGUCAACCCCUCAGGGACCAGCGCGCUCCAGAGACGAGCCACCUGAGUUGUCCCCACCGCGGGCUGCGUUCGCUGCGGAGUUUUCCAACCUCGAGAGCUACCUGGCGGGAAGCCGCGCUGACGGAAGCGCAUCCUCCCAAGGUGUCGGUGAGGAGGGCGGCAAGGACGAAACCAGCAGCUGCUGGGUUGGCGUUGUUAGCAGAACAAACACUCCGGGGAAAGCACACGUUCCACUUCAUGCUGGGACCUUUGUUUAGUUUCCG